AGAGUUGUUUUUACUGGCAAAUAUUCAAAUACCAGCCUUUGAGUUAGAGCUUCACUGGCCAAAAGUUGGCAAGGAAAGCUUCUGUGCAAUGUCUGUGAAUAAGAGUCCCUAAACUGACUAAUGCAGCCACUUUUUUCCUUUAUCCAAGGUAGGCAAGAAUCAUCUACUUAGCAUUUUCAUGAUAUUCCCACAUUGGGUUUCAAAUCUUUUUCAUGAACGCUGUAUAAUUACAUAUCAAUAAUCACAUAAUUAGAGAAUACUACACAAUUUGCUUCAUC
rnacentral:lncRNA from 1 species